rnacentral:rRNA from 1 species
GAUGAACGCUGGCGGCGUGCCUAAUACAUGCAAGUCGAGCGAACGGACGAGAAGCUUGCUUCUCUGAUGUUAGCGGCGGACGGGUGAGUAACACGUGGAUAACCUACCUAUAAGACUGGGAUAACUUCGGGAAACCGUAGCUAAUACCGGAUAAUAUUUUGAACCGCAUGGUUCAAAAGUGAAAGACGGUCUUGCUGUCACUUAUAGAUGGAUCCGCGCUGCAUUAGCUAGUUGGUAAGGUAACGGCUUACCAAGGCAACGAUGCAUAGCCGACCUGAGAGGGUGAUCGGCCACACUGGAACUGAGACACGGUCCAGACUCCUACGGGAGGCAGCAGUAGGGAAUCUUUCGCAAUGGGCGAAAGCCUGACGGAGCAACACCGCGUGAGUGAUGAAGGUCUUCGGAUCGUAAAACUCUGUUAUUAGGGAAGAACAUAUGUGUAAGUAACUGUGCACAUCUUGACGGUACCUAAUCAGAAAGCCACGGCUAACUACGUG